UACGUAGGGUCCGAGCGUUGUCCGGAAUUACUGGGCGUAAAGAGCUCGUAGGUGGUUUGUCACGUUGUUCGUGAAAACCCACAGCUCAACUGUGGGCGUGCGAGCGAUACGGGCAGACUAGAGUACUGCAGGGGAGACUGGAAUUCCUGGUGUAGCGGUGGAAUGCGCAGAUAUCAGGAGGAACACCGGUGGCGAAGGCGGUCUGCUGGGCAGUUUCUGACACUGAGGCGCGACAGCGUGGGGAGCAAACAGG
rnacentral:rRNA from 1 species